GUCGGGUCGUCCUUCUGCCUGCACCUGUGACCCCGUGGCCUCCCCUCCCCUCCUCCCUCGCCCGUGUGAACGCUCCCUUCGGCAAACUCUGCCCAUCCAUCGUGAAUCGAGCCGGCGCUGCUCUGCCCUAGGCCCCGACCCGUUCUCGCACGCGGCCGCCAGUGCUCCAUCCCCAAAGCGCUUCGCUCGCCGGUGCUCAUGGUCACGCAUCAGACUCCGCCUGUCCGUCUACUCCGCCAUGACUGGCGCAAGGCCCCUCCCAUGUAGCACCCACCCCAGAUCGUGCUCGCGCUCACACUUGCUCGCUCGCAGAUCGGCCGGCCACCAUUGUGCGACGACGAAUCGGUGUGACAGCAACCGGCGAGCGUGCGACCAUCACUCUGGAAAGGUCGGAUCGGAGGCGCCGGACGCAGACAUGGAUCCUCAUCUAUCUCGAAAGGACACGGUUUGCAGACUGCGAGGCCCAGAGCAGCAAGUCGUCGGGGGGGGGCCUCCGUUGCGCGGUACGCCUAGCUGCGGUGGGCUGCCCUACUUGCCUUCCACGUGAGGACUGGGGCCAUCUGGCCCGGCGGCCGCCGCACUAGCCGCUCCCGGCAGUGGCCCAGGUUGUGCCGCAUCGCCCACACGCUAGCGCCCGAGUCAACGUUUCCAUGUUGAACACGGCCUCGCAGCCUCCUCGACGCUGUAGCCACCAUCCUGUGGCCUGCCCUCCGGGCCUAGCUUCUCCCUUGGAUACCUCCUCCCUGAACAUUCCGGCCACCACCUUCUCGUCGCUCUCGAUGCUGCUGCAGCCCGCCUCUUCAUUCACGUACUGUGCUUUGGCAGGCGUUCUGUACCUACUCACUUUGUUGGUGCUGCUUUGCUUAGAGGAGAGUGGCGACAUGUUGUUAGCUUGAUUCUUGGUACAGGGUUUCAUGACAUGCAGGUAUUUUAUAAAUGGCAUGGUCAUGUUGAUGCAGCACUUAGGGGCAUGCCCGGCAUGUUACAGUGGAGAGAACUAUUUGGCCCAACUGACUCUGAAAAUCAAGCAUCUUUCAGCUUUCUACACAAGAAGGUCUGCAUGAAGGGAAGAGCAGACCAAUUGAAGGAUUCGUACAUAAAGACUCGUUUUUCUGGUGGCGCUAAUGAGUUGUAUGCCCGUAAUGGCAAGCUACGCACUAGACUUCCGAAAUCUCAAUUGUUUAGAACCAAUGAUCAGUGGUCAGAAUGAACUGUCUGUAAGCAUGUGCUUCAAAUUUUGAGAAAUGAAUAACGGAGAUUCCUUAUUGUCGAUAUACAUUAUCUUAGCCGUAUUACGGAAAUGUCUAUAUAGUGAGUUUGUGAACCUAUGA